rnacentral:rRNA from 1 species
UACGAAGGGUGCAAGCGUUACUCGGAAUCACUGGGCUUAAAGGGCGCGUAGGCGGGCUGUCAAGUCUGGGGUGAAAUCCCGCGGCUCAACCGUGGAACUGCCUCAGAUACUGACGGCCUCGAGGGAGGUAGGGGCAUGCGGAACUGUAGGUGGAGCGGUGAAAUGCGUUGAUAUCUACAGGAACUCCGGUGGCGAAAGCGGCGUGCUGGACCUCUUCUGACGCUGAGGCGCGAAAGCUAGGGGAGCAAAC